ACUCAAAGGAAUUGACGGGAGCCCGCACAAGCAGUGGAGUAUGUGGUUUAAUUCGACGCAACGCGAAGAACCUUACCAGGACUUGACAUCCCGGGGACCCGGCGUAAUGGCUGGGGUGCCUCUUUUGAGGAACCCGGAGACAGGUGGUGCAUGGUUGUCGUCAGCUCGUGUCGUGAGAUGUUGGGUUAAGUCCCGCAACGAGCGCAACCCUUACUGUCAGUUGCUACGCAAGAGCACUCUGACGGGACUGCCGUUGACAAAACGGAGGAAGGUGGGGAUGAUGUCAAAUCAUCAUGCCCCUUACGUUCUGGGCUACACACGUACUACAAUGGCGAAAACAAAGGGGAGCUAAGCCGCGAGGCGGAGCAAAUCCCAAAAAAAUCGUCCCAGUUCGGAUUGCAGGCUGCAACCCGCCUGCAUGAAGUCGGAAUUGCUAGUAAUCGCGGAUCAGCAUGCCGCGGUGAAUACGUUCCCGGGCUUUGUACACACCGCCCGU
rnacentral:rRNA from 1 species